UACGUAGGUGGCAAGCGUUGUCCGGAUUUACUGGGCGUAAAGAGCGCGCAGGCGGUCGUUCAAGUCGCGUGUGAAAGCCCCCGGCUCAACUGGGGAGGGUCACGCGAUACUGAUCGACUCGAAGGCAGGAGAGGGUAGUGGAAUUCCCGGUGUAGUGGUGAAAUGCGUAGAUAGUCGGGAGGAACACCAGUGGCGAAGGCGACUACCUGGCCUGUUUCUUGACGCUGGAGGCGCGAAAGCUAGGGGAGCAACGGG
rnacentral:rRNA from 1 species